GCCCAUAACUCCAAAACAUUCCAUCACAGACAGUCCAAACUAUUCCUUUUUGGAAUCUUUAUGAUCAGACAAAUAAUGUGGUAUAGUAUUCAAUAUGAUUUUGAUUAUUUUUAAAUACUGACCUCCAUGUAAUUCUUCAUAGAACCCAACCCGCUAGAGCUGCCACCCUGGGAUGGCCACCAUACAUUUCUCUGUAAAUUGUGGUGUACAGAAGCUGGAUUGUAAGUGUUGUUUCGUCUCCUUUGGUGUCACCGAAAACCUUCUUGGCCCAUGGACUAAUGGGGCAGUAGGGUGGAGAUUGAGGAUAAACUUUAAAAUCUCUGGGGUUGCGGUCGAUUCUUGUUUACAUCCACGUGAUUCAGCUGCAGAUGUCAGCCCUCUGGGUAGCUAACGGGCUGAACGUUACAACGCUGUACUCAAACGAUGUAUUACUUCCUUCCAACUUCUGAUACUUUAGCUUUUUGAUUAUUUUACACAUGAAGACUGUUUAAAAAAAAAAACAAUUUCGUCCAGAAAAAACAUGUAUAUUAUCUGAGGUAUUAGUUUGCCAUUACGUGUCUUUUUGCAUUUGAAGAACAACGUUAUGACUGAAAUGUCUUGGUUAAACAUUUUCAACAUCAUUCUGGCGCUCUUGGCCACUUUCAUUGUUAAGCUCCAUUUAAUAGUGCACAUUAAGCCAUAGCGUUCUUUCAAGAAGUUUAUAUUUAUGUUUGUAUUCAUAUCAGUUGGUACUGUACAAAAAAGAAGUAUUAUGAACAUAUGUACAUAUCUCUUUGGCUGCUGCAAUUUGUGCAACUCCUUAACAUGUUCUAUUGUGCUUAAUGCAAUCAAAGUGAGUGCCUGGACUUAAAAAAAAAAAAAAAAAAAAAAAAACGCUAUUUAUGAGCAGAUUACAAGAUUUAUGAAGAUGCAGGGAAUUUGUACACAGUAUACACAUAGUUACACAAUACUUGCAUUGAUGGUGAAAGUGGAUGAUUGGAAAUCCGAUCAACCACGCAGGAGAUCAGAGGCAUUUUGCUCUUUGUAAUGAUCAUUUUAGAAAUUCCUUCGAACAGUUUACAGAAACUUGAUGUGAAUUUACCUGCAGUUCCAUCAAUUCGUGUGCUGUUAGUUCUAAGGGAUACACCACUAUGGAGCAUACAGUGUAGCAUAGCACCAGACACAUGCACGCCUUAACCAGUGUUCUUGCUUUAGGAUUAGCCGAGUUUGUUCAAACGUUCCAGUAGAGAAAGGGGGCGAAGUGAUUAUAGUCCACUGUUUCGCUGAAACAAUUUGGCCAUGUGAGUAGAUUUAGAGGUUUAGACCAUAGACGGAAGCACUUUAUGAGUAGUUUGUGAAAAAUAAUAUUUAUUCAUAUAAAACAUUGUAUAAGUUAAGUGAUUUAGAUUCGUCUUAAACUAGGAAUUGCCUAAAAUAAAAAUUUAUCUCAACUUUAACAGCUUACAAUAAAGAUGGAUUAUGUAGUAAUCUGAUACUAUAUUAUUAAGAGAUUAAUUAAAGCUGUACGGCCUUUCAAAUGACACAAACUGACAAAAUUUAGCUUCUACCAAAAUCCAAGAAUUAAAAUGUAGGUUUAUUUUUGUAUCAUACUGCAAAAUUACAGCUUAUUUCAAUGAAGAGAACACAUUUAUCUGGGCGGAAUUACAUGGCAAAUGUUGUUUUCCUUCUUACGUACUGUACAGGAGGAAGCAUACGAGUGCACAUCCAUAAGAUGUCUUGUAAAUCAUUUCAGAGGUGUUAUAUGGUUUCAAAAACAGCAUUUUUAGAUUUAGAAGUGCUUAUUUCUUGCGAACCUAUACAAAAUAUCUGGGAAACACAUUUAUAUAGAAAGCUGUUUCUGAGUGUUUUCCGCCAUCUUGGUUUAUUUUAUUCGAGCUAGCAGCCAGCUCAUGUCACACUACCUUUCUUUACUUGGAUUGGCAAUCGUGGUGUCCUUCCCAGCAUCCUUGUAUUGCUUGAAGGAAGCCCCCACAUGAUCUGACUUCCUGAUCACUUGAAAUUCUCCCCCUCAGGGGCUGAAAUUCUAAAUUGUUUCCAGACAGCAUGAAUUUUGAUCACAUUGGCAUUAUAAUAUUAUGAAUCCCUUAUUUAAAUAAUUAAUAAAAUUAUAGUGGUACAAAUGAAAAUUCUUUUUAUGACUUAAACCUUAAACCAAAGGCCGGACAGCUUUAAGAAACAUGAACGAAACAAAACCACACGUCCACCUCUACAUAUAUUUUAAAGGGCUACUCCAUAUUAUUGUAUGUUUACUAUUUUGAGCUGUUGAGAUAAUUGCCCUUCGAUCAUUUGAAACCGGGUAGCAGUGCAAGCUUUAAAGUACAACUGAAGAGUUUCUAAAUUAAAAAAAAAAGACAUUAUGUAUUUACCAAAGUCCCGAUUAUAGUUUAUUUUACUGACGGUCUCGUUUGUUUUUGGAGGCUUGUACUGUAAUUAUAUUGUUACCAAAUUGUUUUAGCGUUCUACUGUGAUUAUGUUUACGAUAGAAAAAAGUACUUUGUUAAAAAGUUUGAAAAAGAGUCCUCUUAUGAUAUAUCGGAAUGCCAGUUUCAUAGUAUAUUUGAAUGUGUCCAUAUGGAAGCCAGUAAAUGGUAUUAUAAUAUGUUAAGUAACUUGAAUGACUUUUAAUAACUUAUAUGUUUGCAACUCUUAGUUGACAUACUGGUAAUGAAUGUUUCUAUGGUAUUCUUUGUAUUGUCAGGACUGACUUACUGUUUAGAGAUUUAUAUUUUCAUAAAUGUUGUACUUACAUUUUGUUACAGAGUUGUUUAACUGGAAUUAAAGUUGAAAAGAAACUUAUGUCUGAAGCAAUAUGAACUAGUGUGUAUGCAUUGUUUGUAAGAAACAUUUUAAUGUAAUAAAAAUGGUUCACAUUU